GAAUUAAACUCUAUGCAUUAAGAGAUCUAUAAACUCCGCCAGGAUCGGAAGAUAGCAACGGUAAGUAGAUGUUUUUAAGUGAUGUAGAAUAAUUUAAUUUGAGU
rnacentral:SRP_RNA from 1 species